rnacentral:rRNA from 1 species
UACAGAGGUCUCAAGCGUUGUUCGGAUUCACUGGGUUUAAAGGGUGCGUAGGCGGGUAAGUAAGUCCGUGGUGAAAUCUCUGAGCUUAACUCAGAAACUGCCGUGGAUACUAUUUGCCUUGAAUAUUGUGGAGGUGAGCGGAAUAUGUCAUGUAGCGGUGAAAUGCUUAGAUAUGACAUAGAACACCAAUUGCGAAGGCAGCUCACUACUCAAUCAUUGACGCUGAGGCACGAAAGCGUGGGGAUCAAACAGG